CAUGAUUAUUGCACUCAACAAGACUGAAAUUUUAACUCUUUGGCGAGUGAGGGGUAAAUUUGUCUGUUUGGAAACCUUUCAUGAAGGAGUGAGUAAUUACAGUUUCAAAAAGAGGACAAUGAGAUUUCAUAUUGAAAUCAACAUCACAAUGGUCCUCAUGAGGAGGAUUAAAAGGAGGCCAACUCAACAUACUGAUCACAUCACACCGACUUGUAGUCAUGUCUUAUAAACCAUAUAUAGUAUGUUGUUUAUGAAGGAAUAAAGUCAAAGCAGCUUCCAUACUGUUAGCUAUUGUGGAUUUAUUAGAGAGAAAUAAGAAGACGAGGACAGGUCAUAAAGCAAGUUUGUUACCACGGGGUCUUGUGGUUCCUAUGUAGUGUAUUCGAGUUUGAUUCUUGCUAUUAAAAAAACCUAGUGUGUUCAACAGAAACUGAACAUUUUAAAAUUGGCACAUAUUGGCUUGGCUUGUGAGAAGGACUAGACCAUAAUGGGGCCAACCUUAUAAUGAGUUAUUCAUAUAAGUACGAAGAAGGUGGUUGGAUGUUACAGAACCACUUGAAAUUCUUCCUCCCUUCCUCAUUAAUGUCAUUGCUAUUGGCCAUAUAAUAGGUGGGUUGUCACUUACAUUUCAUCAUGCCAGCAUUAACCAUCAUUGGCACUUUCUCUAUUUGAAUAUUUGAAAUAGAACAUUAAUUUUGCAUUGCUAGUGAUUAUAUGUUUCAUGGAGCUGUUUUCCUCUUAUAUUCCUUGAAAAGGAUGUCAUCUCAAAAAGUUGAUUUCAUGGUGAGACACUUGAUUGAGGAAGUGAGAAGAUUAAACCAAGUUAACCGACAAUUAUUAUUUUAUAAGCUACGAAAAAAUAAUUUAUUUGACCAAAUCAUAUAAUUUAUCCAAUCAGUCCCAGACAUUGGCAUUCACCAAUACUUAUUAUUGUUUACUCCUUAACCACAUCAUAGAAAAGGAUUAUACACUCAUGACAAGGCAA